UACGUAGGUGGCAAGCGUUGUCCGGAUUUAUUGGGUUUAAAGGGUGCGUAGGCGGCUUUGUAAGUCAGUGGUGAAAUAUGGCAGCUUAACUGUCAGGGUGCCAUUGAUACUGCAGAGCUUGAGUACAGAUGAGGUGGGCGGAAUUGACGGUGUAGCGGUGAAAUGCUUAGAUAUCGUCAAGAACACCUAUAGCGAAGGCAGCUUACUAGGCUGUAACUGACGCUGAGGCACGAAAGUGUGGGGAGCAAACAGG
rnacentral:rRNA from 1 species